AGCAAAGAAUUUUUUCACCAUUAAGUAUAAUGUUAGUCGUAAGUUUAUUUUUUCAUAGAUGCCCUUUAUCAGACUGAGGAGUUUAUUCCUAUUCCUCAUUUGCUGAGUGUUUUGGUCAGGAAUGGAUACUGGAUUUAUCAGAUGCCUUUUCUUCAUUUAUUGAGAUGAUCAUCAGGUUGGUUUAUAUAAUGAAUUACAACAUCAUUAAUUACAAUGGUUGAUUUUUAGAUAUUACACCAAACCUGCAUUCCUGUGAUAAACCCCAGUUGUUAUAUAUUGCCCUUUAAAAACGGUUUUUGGUUUGGAUUGCUAAGGUUUUAUUUAAAGUUGUUUUGCAUUUAUGUUCAUGAGCUCAUGCCUGAAAGUUCUGGAGUGAUGAGAUGUUAAUAGCAUCAGAAGUUUUUCUUCUGUGGCCCUAAGGACAAGAUAGAACAGUUGGAAUUCACAAUAGAUCUUCAAGAAGGAGUGGAUACGAAAUGGCAGUAUGAAGGAGACAGAUCCAAGAAGGUAUUGCUAUGAUUUAUGUCAAAGACUGUUCCGGCUGUGUUCUCUUCUAGGAGUUUUAUAGUUUCAGGGCCACCCCUGUGGCUGCUGGCCUAUGCCACAGCCACAGCAACCCCAGAUCUGAGCCUCAUCUGUGACCUACACCGCAACUUGCACCAGUGCUGCCUCCUUUAGCCCACUGAGCAAGGCCAGGGAUUGAACCCGCAUCCUCAUGGACGCUAA
ensembl:lncRNA